GAGGAGACAGAAAUACGGUCAACAUUCAACACAUUAAAACGGAAUGGAUCAAAUCCCAAGCCAGUUGGCUCUGACAAAGUCCCGAGCCAAAGACUGGCCUACAACAUGACCCUAUAUGACCGGAGGUAGUAUACUAUAUAGUGAUUAGGGUGCCACUACCCUUGACCAGAGGUAGUAUACUAUGUAGUGAUUAGGGUGCCACUACCCUUGACCAGUGGUAGUGCACUAUAUAGGGAUUAGGUUGUCACUAAAUUUGACCAGUGGUAGUGCACUAUAUAGGGAUUAGGUUGCCACUCAAUUUGACCAGUGGUAGUGCACUAUAUAGGGAUUAGGUUGCCACUCAAUUUGACCAGUGGUAGUGCACUAUAUAGGGAUUAGGUUGCCACUCAAUUUGACCAGUGGUAGUGCACUAUAUAGGGAUUAGGUUGCCACUCAAUUUGACCAGUGGUAGUGCACUAUAUAGGGAUUAGGUUGCCACUCAAUUUGACCAGUGGUAGUGCACUAUAUAGGGAUUAGGUUGCCACUCAAUUUGACCAGUGGUAGUGCACUAUAUAGGGAUUAGGGUGCCACUCAAUUUGACCAGUGGUAGUGCACUAUAUAGGGAUUAGGGUGCCACUCAAUUUGACCAGUGGUAGUGCACUAUAUAGGGAUUAGGG